GGUAGGGUGGUCGAGAGUUUAGGCGGUGGAUUGUAGUUCCAUAAACAAAGGUUCAAUUCCUUUUCCUAUCA
rnacentral:tRNA from 1 species